CAGCCGCCACGGGAAUACGUAGGGCGCAAGCGUUAUCCGGAAUUAUUGGGCGUAAAGAGCUCGUAGGCGGUUUGUCGCGUCUGCCGUGAAAGUCCGGGGCUCAACCCCGGAUCUGCGGUGGGUACGGGCAGACUAGAGUGAUGUAGGGGAGACUGGAAUUCCUGGUGUAGCGGUGAAAUGCGCAGAUAUCAGGAGGAACACCGAUGGCGAAGGCAGGUCUCUGGGCAUUAACUGACGCUGAGGAGCGAAAGCAUGGGGAGCGAACAGGAUUAGAUACCCGCGUAGUCCCUGUCUCUUAUAC
rnacentral:rRNA from 1 species